AGCGAAGGGGUGGGGUGGGAUCUUGGUCCAGCUGGUACUGGAGCGGCGACAAUUUUGGCUAGUCUAAGAAGGGCAUUCGAGUGACCGUUGACAACGGGUGGGACAGCGUCAGAGCUGGAGGGAGAGCCAGCACUGUAUGCUUCCAGGACUUCUUGCUAGGUGCAUUAGUUUUUAUUUUUAAGAGUUGGGUAAAAGACAUUAAUUAGUUAGCAUCUCACUCAUCGGCGAUUUUCUACGGUAUGAUUUCAUCCAAAGAGGAUUUCUUAAUCGCACUGUGUGACACCGUUAGGGGACUUAGAGUGUCACUCGCCGCCUUAAAUCCUUUCGGGAACAAGCCAGGAUAUAAAUAAAUAAAGCUAGGUGUGGGUCUUCCCUUCACAAGGCGCUGGUAGGCAGACUAAAGACAGGCAACAGCUGAGUGUGCACACAGAACUAAAUAUUGAACGAAAUACGAGUGUCGGAAUAAAAUUCAUUGCCAUGUGCACGGCUUAUGAUUAUACAGAUCUUGGACAUAUCACGGACCUGAACGUCAACCCUGCAACACCGGAUAAAACAUCUAAUGUAGCUGGAAUAGACUCUGAAAGGACGUUAGGCAUUAUCUAAAUCAAGUCCCUCAUUUUACAGAUGAGUAAACUGACUCAGUGAAGUAUUUUGCUCAAGGUCGUUCAUCAAAUUAGUAGUUUAAUUAACUCAGUGUUCUAGGAAGCAGGGUAGUAGAAAAGCAUGGGAUUCGGAGUCUGAAAUCUUCCUUGGUUUCUGGUCCUUGUAGGCUGUUUUACAAGUGUAUCUUGGGCAAAUCCCUUAACGUCUUGCCAUUUAUUAAGGGCUUACUUACCACGUGGCAAACAAUCCACUUUGCAUGCUGUGUCAAUUACAUGCAGUAUGUCGUGUAGUUAUUACUGUCCCCAUUUUAUGAGGUAGUUUAGGUUUAAAGAUAUUAGAAAUUUACCCAAAGUUACGCAGUUAUAAACAUUGUAGUAAUUUCAAACUCAGGUCUUCGUGACUGCAAAGGCUGCUGUCUUAAGUAUUGUAAUACAUUAGAGCUCCGGAUUCCCUCCCACUCAAAACAGAGACUGAGACUCCAACCAAUUUCCACCAUUAUUGGGAGUCAAACGAGAGAGACUGUGGCAAUGUAUUCUAAGCUGUACAAAGGUAUAAACAUAUUCACUAGAUUUGUAGAAUGAAGUUAUUCCUUCCCUAUACUUUCCACUACAACAAUUCAGCCAAAAAGAUGGCUUUCAUACUAAGCAUAAGAAGGAACUUCACUGUAAUUAUGAUAUUCUAACCAAGAAUAUAUGCAUAUCUAGGCAAUAACCAAAGUGAAUAGAAUAAAAUUUAAUUCCUGAUAGAUUAAAUAGGCAAUAGCAAGGAAUGCUAACGCUCCUCAUAGCGUUCUUGUUGGAAGAAUCAUCUAGGAGGCAUUGGGAUUUCUGGUGCUUUUUAAGCAAUGAGAGAUAUCAGUCCACUGAAUGAGGAAGAGAAUAACGUUUAGUUUCGGACUAAAAGUUCAUCUGGACUACGGAAAACACGUUUGCCUCAAUCAGUGAAGAAGGUAUGCUGAGAGCUGAAAGAAAAGGAAAGCAGCAACAGUGAGAGCUCAGAAAUUCCCAGACUGUUUUGAUGAUAAGGUCCAAGAACUUGCCAUGUGAUCCAUCACUACUAGACUCCCACAACUGCAUUAGAUUUGUUCAGGAUUUUCAUAUAAUUUUCAUAACUGGCUAAGGGUAACUUGGUCACAAAAAAUGAAACAUUGUUGUAAGAAUGUAUCAAGGAAAGUGGAGCGAAAGGCCAGUAGGAAAACCAAGACUCUCUGGAGAAGUCAACAGGGCAUAGCUAAAUUUUAUACAGGGGCCAUGUUGAAUGUGAAAGACAACGUGUUCAAAACUGCGCUCAUAUUCAAUGAUUCUGAAAUAACCCAUCUUGAAGACAUAAACAAUGUGCAUUGAUGGCUAGCCAGACUCUGUCCUGCCACAGUUCUCCUCCUACUCUUCAUUUCUUACCCCAAGGAGUAGUAAACAUGAAUCCUGACCCACCAAUGCAGUCCCAGAACUGAGAAAAGAUUCACUGCAGCUAAACACAUUGGAAAUGGAUGGGGAGAAGGCCUGAUGAAAAUUACUGAGGAAGCCUCUUAGCCUAUGUGCUCUGAGAGUAGUGACACCUAGCAGUCGUUCAAAAGAUGAUCAAGAGGAGCAUGAAAAAAUCCCCUGAAUCCAUUGGCUUUCUUCCCUAUACUGACAACAGUUUACUUGUGUAAGAGAUGCAUGCCUCGACUCCGGACCCCUUCUUUCAUCUGCAAAAUCAGCAGCACCCUCACAUCAUCUCCUGUAACAAACUCUCUCUGUCUCCUCCAUAUAAGGUCACUGAUGGUUACAUUUAGGGUCCAUGAUAUAAGAAGAUGGAUGUCUAUUGCUUUUCUCUUGAUAUUCAUGGCACUGCUCCUCUCCAUCCAUAGGAUUAUCUUAUAGAUGAGGGUCUCAUCCUUUUGCCCAGGCUGGAGUACAG
rnacentral:lncRNA from 1 species